rnacentral:lncRNA from 1 species
AUUGAUGGGGGGAAAGAUAUACACACAUACACACAUAUGCAUGUGAAGAACAUAAACACAUAAAGCCAAAGGCUCUGUACAGUUUUUUAAAAAAUGGGGCCCCUUUCUUCUUCCUCUCUCCCAGAGGCAGAGUGCCCAGACCCCAGGGCAGCUACCCUGGGGAUGAACAAAAUGCUACAUUCUCACUGGGUCUCCUCGAUAGCCCCUGUGGAUCCAGGGAUGGGGUAGAAGGCUAGCAAUGCUCCCAGAGCAGGGAGGGGCACUGGCCACCUGCACAGAGAGAGGGGGCAGUGGGGCUCUGAGCACCUUUAGCUGGGAGGCUGGCUGGGCACCUAUGAGCUCAGCUUUUUCCGCUAUCCCCUCAAGACUCAAAAGUCCCCACCAGCCCUCAGGCUGCCUAAGGGUGACAGGUGAGCCCCUUCCUGCUAGGGUGUCUGGCCAGGAUGGCCUGCUUCCAAGAGUCCUCACCUUCACACACAGAGCUGUUUCCAGCCCAGGCCAGCACUGAUUUGCAGAAGGCCUGCAGAGCCAUGGUGACCAAAGUCUUCCCGCUUCUGCCACGUCCCUUCUGCCUACCCCACCUCCCCAUCAAGUCCCUCAAAAAGAAGUGCUCACUGGGGUAGCAUGCUCCUUGCUGUCCAGGACAGUCACCGUGGCUCCACAGCACUCUUCCUGGGAGGCCCUGGCUGAACCAUCCCGAAUAACCCCCAGGCAGGGGCCACCUGCCGAUGGGGCUGGGCUGCCAGGAGCAGUGAGACAGGUCAGCUGGGCCCCUCUGGGUCCUUCAAACAAGCCUGCCACAUAGCUUUGGACACAGACCUACUCCCCUGGGGGCUGAGGGAGGUCACUGGGAGGUGAUCUUUUUCCACCUCGGAUUGAGCAAGAGAAGGCUGCCAGUGGCCCAGACUUUGAAACAGGCCAGGCAGAGGCCAGGCUGAGUCCUCCACCCUCAUUGCAGGAGUCCAGCGUCUGGCCUGGGGACUUCCCUCACCAGAUCUGUUGACCAACUUCUAGAAACCCCUGCUUUGGGGUUGUGAAUUAGAAGGGCUGUUUUGACCCUGAAUAUCAGGCUUCCCUUCCUCCCAGGCAUUUCUUUCCCGAGGAGGAAGGUUUCCAGUCCCUCUCCCAACCCCCACCCUCAGCAAGCCACAAAGCCUCCACCGUCUUCAGCUGGUUACAGGUCAGGAUCCAGGUCGGGGGGGAGGGGCAGGUCUCCUGAGGCUAGACUUGAGGAAUGUUUAGGCCAACUCACCAGGCAGAGGAGGAAGGGGCCAGUUUAGAUCACUAAGCCAAUUAAAAACAACCAGCCAGAAAGAACCUUUCUCCUUCCUGACAGCUACUCUGCCAGCUACCUCCUGGGUUUUGUUGGUGGGGAAGAAGGGAGAGGGAAACGUGAGGGGUGUAAAUUUUGCCCUGGCUCACUUAAGACAGUGAGUGAGUUCCUGGCUUUGCAUAAGAUGGAGACAGUGCAGUCAGACCACCUUCCACCUGCCCCAGGCUUGAUGUUGAGGUGGGUUUGUCAAAGUCUGGGCUCAGUUCUCAGGCCACAGGGCACCCAGCCUGGGCCUGGCAAGGUCUCUGAAGCUGAUGGCCUUGCCCCAGCACCAAGAUCUAAAUCAUUUUCUCUCUCACUGAACUCAGGUGGAGAGUCUGCCAAAAGGGGUGAAUAGUGGCUGCUGUAAAUAAUCCCGGUUUUUUGGUGUGUGCCACUGAAGCAUACGGCAGCAGGCUGCCUGUCACCACCUUGAUCCAGAGAGGGGAGAACAACGUAUGUCCCAUACACAUCAUAAAAUGGUAUGGAGACCCACAGGGAAGGCUGAAUUUCACAAUGGUCAGUGUGUCCCAGAGCCAGUCUUCAAGCUGGUCCCCGGCUCCUUCUCUGCAAAGCAGGAACCCGUCUUCUUAGCAGACAAAUCAUGGUACACACCCUGAGAAUAGAAUUCUGACCAAGAAGAGGUAAUAUCCAGAAUAUCUGAGCAGAACAAAACAAAGGCUUACAUGCACAGUUUGAGGCCCUUCUCCUCCAGGGUGCUGUGAGCCCAUAUGGCACCUUUGCAAAUUAGGAAAGGCACCCCUUCUUCUUGGGAGAAGUAGCCCCACACCAGGGCACGCACACAGCUUAGUGAGCAGAACACAAGCUGAAUUCCAGCCUCCAUUAGCUGCAGGUGCCCUUGUGCAGUGAACAACCUGCACAACUGUACAUCCAGAAGAUCAAUGUCUCCUUCAAUAGUACUGAAGACCUCCUCUCCUCAGAACUGGAAGACUUGGGCUUGUUCAGAUUUGUGAGUCUACUCUAGACUCCUCCUAUUUCCUUGGGUAGCCCUGAGGUCUUCUUUGUCCAGGGAAGCCGUCUUUCCUUUGGGCCUUACUUCACUGUUAGCACCAAUGUUGUCUUUUCUCACAUAUGCAAAAGUUAUAAUUUAGUUUCUAGCGUCUGGUUAACAGAUUCCCUGUGCCUGCUAUCGGAGCUGCCACACCGGCUGCUUUAGAUCCUCUCCAUAAGUGCCGCAGCAGGGAGAGAAGGGAAGACGUGCACAGGCAGCUGUGAUCCUGCUGGGUUCCAGAGCAUGCCCUUCUGGCCUAGCUGGAAGCUGGAGGAAGAUAGGAAAUGUGUACCCAGCUUUGACGGUUCCCCACUCUAAUCGUUAUCUGUUACUCUAAAAGUCACUUAGCUGGCAAAGCCACUGUCCUGGCUUCUUCUGUAUCCCACUAGGUAUGAAAAAGGACUGGGGAUAAGGGGGAAGAGGUAUGUUGUUUCCAAGGAAACCAAGGGGUCUGGGGUCCCCUACGGCUGACUCUCAUGGUAGGGUGGCCACCAUAUUUUCCGGCCCCACUGCAAACUUGCCCCCGAUGUCCCUCAGUGCCGAUGUUGGGGGUGGAAUGCGGUCUGUCGGUGGGGUCUUUUGAAAGAAGAGCUGACAAAGGCACAGGCUGCCAGCAGCAACAUGCUGACUGGCUAUUCGGCUCAUCCGUGGCUGACACCCAGCUGGUCC